AGCGAACGCUGGCGGCAGGCUUAACACAUGCAAGUCGAGCGGGCAUCCUUGUGGUGUCAGCGGCAGACGGGUGAGUAACGCGUGGGAACGUGCCCUUCGGUUCGGAAUAACUCAGGGAAACUUGAGCUAAUACCGGAUACGUGCGAGAGCAGAAAGGUUUAUCUGCCGAAGGAUCGGCCCGCGUCUGAUUAGCUAGUUGGUGAGGUUAUGGCUCACCAAGGCGACGAUCAGUAGCUGGUCUGAGAGGAUGAUCAGCCACACUGGGACUGAGACACGGCCCAGACUCCUACGCGAGGGAGCAGUGGGGAAUAUUGGACGAUGGGGGCAACCCUGAUCCAGCCAUGCCGCGUGAGUGAUGACGGCGUUAGGGUUGUGAAGCUCUUUUCUUCGGGACGAUAAUGACGGUACCGGAGGAAUAAGCCCCGGCUAACUUCGUG
rnacentral:rRNA from 1 species